AAAUGAAUAAUUGCAGAUCAAGACAGUUUGAUAAAGUGAUAAUUUGAUAAUUUGAUAAAGUCAUAAACUUGAAUAUCAUUGU